rnacentral:rRNA from 1 species
AUGGUGGUUGCAAAUGGCAAUGUCGACAUGGAGGAAGGAACCCUUGAGAUCGGGAUGGAGUACAGGACAGUUUCUGGAGUUGCUGGUCCUCUUGUGAUUCUUGAUAAAGUGAAGGGGCCUAAAUACCAAGAAAUCGUCAACAUACGAUUGGGAGAUGGCACAACUAGGCGUGGUCAGGUGCUUGAAGUUGAUGGAGAGAAAGCUGUGGUUCAGGUUUUUGAGGGAACUUCCGGUAUUGACAACAAAUAUACAACUGUGCAAUUCACUGGUGAGGUUCUAAAAACUCCAGUGUCACUGGAUAUGCUUGGACGCAUUUUCAAUGGUUCUGGGAAACCUAUAGAUAAUGGCCCACCAAUUUUACCAGAGGCAUACCUGGAUAUUUCUGGAAGUUCUAUCAAUCCCAGCGAACGGACAUACCCUGAAGAAAUGAUUCAGACUGGCAUAUCUACAAUUGAUGUCAUGAAUUCUAUCGCUCGUGGUCAGAAGAUCCCUCUGUUCUCCGCUGCAGGUCUGCCACACAAUGAAAUUGCUGCUCAGAUUUGCCGUCAGGCUGGGCUAGUAAAGCGUAAAGAGAAGACUGAUAAUAUCUUGGAGGUACUUGUAUUGUGUACAAUCUUGGUCUGGUUUACAUGGCGCAGUGAUGAAGUACUCCCCACUUGUGCCAAGAGGUCCUGGGUUCGACGCAGCCUCUCUGCAUUGCACUGUGCAGGGGUAAGGCUUGCCUCGUAUAAUUCUUCCCCAUACCCCCACCUGGUGUGGGAGCUUCUAGCACUGUGCCUGUCAUUGGUCUGGUUUACAUGGCAAACUAUGGGAGUAAACAUGGAAACAGCACAAUUUUUCAAGCGUGAUUUCGAGGAGAAUGGUUCAAUGGAGAGAGUUACCUUAUUUCUUAAUCUGGCAAAUGAUCCUACCAUCGAGCGUAUUAUUACUCCAAGAAUUGCUCUCACCACAGCGGAAUACUUGGCAUAUGAGUGUGGGAAGCAUGUUCUUGUCAUCCUGACUGACAUGAGUUCAUAUGCAGAUGCACUUCGUGAAGUCUCUGCUGCUCGAGAGGAAGUACCUGGAAGGCGUGGUUAUCCUGGUUAUAUGUAUACUGACUUGGCGACAAUCUAUGAGCGUGCUGGUCGUAUAGAAGGAAGAAAAGGAUCGAUUACGCAGAUACCUAUUUUAACCAUGCCUAAUGAUGAUAUUACCCAUCCAACUCCUGACCUUACUGGUUACAUCACCGAGGGGCAGAUCUACAUUGACAGGCAGCUACAUAAUCGGCAGAUAUAUCCACCAAUUAAUGUCCUUCCCUCACUUUCGCGGCUCAUGAAGAGUGCUAUUGGCGAAGGCAUGACUCGCCGGGAUCAUUCUGAUGUCUCAAACCAGCUAUAUGCCAAUUACGCCAUAGGCAAAGACGUGCAGGCGAUGAAGGCAGUGGUCGGAGAGGAAGCACUGUCAUCAGAGGACUUGCUCUACCUUGAGUUCCUUGACAAGUUUGAGCGGAAGUUUGUGGCUCAGGGGGCAUAUGACACGCGGAACAUCUUCCAGUCGCUUGACCUUGCCUGGACCCUACUCCGCAUCUUCCCCCGUGAGCUGCUCCACCGUAUACCGGCGAAAACCCUUGAUCAGUUCUACAGUCGUGAUGCCUCUCACUAA